rnacentral:rRNA from 1 species
AGCAGCCGCGGUAAUUCCAGCUCCAAUAGCGUAUAUUAAAGUUGUUGCAGUUAAAAAGCUCGUAGUUGAAUUUCGGGAUCAAUAUGUCGGUCGUGCCUCGGUACGUACUGGCGUAAUUGGUUUCUCCCUUCUGAAGAACCGCGAUGUCAUUAAUUUGGUGUCGUGGGGAAUCAGGACUGUUACUUUGAAAAAUUAGAGUGUUUAAAGCAGGCUCGCGCUUGAAUACAUUAGCAUGGAAUAAUGAAAUAGGACGUUUGAUUCUAUUUUGUUGGUUUCUAGAAUCGACGUAAUGAUUAAUAGGGAUAGUUGGGGGCAUUAGUAUUCAAUUGUCAGAGGUGAAAUUCUUGGAUUUAUUGAAGACUAACUACUGCGAAAGCAUUUGCCAAGGAU